AUUGAACGCUGGCGGCAGGCCUAACACAUGCAAGUCGAACGGUAACAGGAAACAGCUUGCUGUUUCGCUGACGAGUGGCGGAGGGGUGAGUAAUGUCUGGGAAACUGCCUGAUGGAGGGGGAUAACUACUGGAAACGGUAGCUAAUACCGCAUAACGUCGCAAGACCAAAGAGGGGGACCUUCGGGCCUCUUGCCAUCGGAUGUGCCCAGAUGGGAUUAGCUAGUAGGUGGGGUAACGGCUCACCUAGGCGACGAUCCCUAGCUGGUCUGAGAGGAUGACCAGCCACACUGGAACUGAGACACGGUCCAGACUCCUACGGGAGGCAGCAGUGGGGAAUAUUGCACAAAGGGCGCAAGCCUGAUGCAGCCAUGCCGCGUGUAUGAAGAAGGCCUUCGGGUUGUAAAGUACUUUCAGCGGGGAUGAAGGGAGUAAAGUUAAUACCUUUGCUCAUUGACGUUACCCGCAGAAGAAGCACCGGCUAACUCCGUG
rnacentral:rRNA from 1 species